ensembl:lncRNA
CUUCUUUGGACACGUUCUAGGACCUCUUUGAGUCAUGCAGCCCAUCUUCCACGCCCUCCACUGACCCAAGGAAAGCCCAGGCUAAGGCAGGCCUGAGGAUAGGCCUGCAUGUGGAUAGCCCUUGGUGGUAUUUCCUGGACAGGCAAUGCUAAACAUGGGUUUUUACCCUUUUUUAUGGUUCUGGAAGCAUGGCUUUUAGCAACAGUGUUGAACACAAGUAAGUAGUUCAGCAGCUAUAGGUGUAAUGCAGAUCUAGAUAUCCUUGAACAAAAUAAAGGACCUCUGCUUGUUGGCUGGAAAAGCUUUAACUCAGUGGUGACAGUGGUGCACAUCUGCAGAGUGAGUGAUAGCACACUUGAGAAGUGUCAGUGUAUGCCUGGCCUAUCCUACUUCUCCAUAGGCAUCCAUUAGUGGCCCCUGUCAGAAGCUGUGUGGCUACUUUCCAUUUGCCCAAUGGAUGUUUGGCCUGAACCAGUGCUUUAAUCAUUAAAUCUAUGUGUUUAUUAAAUGUGUAUAAACUGUAAGGGAAAAAUGUUUAGUUCCACGUGUCUACAGUCUUCUUUGGUGCGAUCGUGUUCCUGUAUAUAGGAGUGAGCCUGCAUGGGUGUGUAUAUUUAGAUAUUUAUGCCACUUUGCAGGCUUGCCAUGCAAAUACAUGUGCAGCGUAGAAGACUAAUUGCUACUUUUUUCUUAUAUUUCAGUUAAUAUUUCAGAAUUGUUCAUUAUAUUGGCAUCCAUUCUGUUUCAGGAGCUCUGCAGCCAUCUUACAAGUAGCAAAAAACAGGGUACAGAUCAAGGCCCUGUUGAUGAUUGCAUGCCGAGUGAAUGCUGCCAGCCGAGUGAUGGUUGCUCACUGAAUAGCGAGUUGCUUCAUGGCACAGUCCUCAUAAACAUGGCUUCAGAGAGCUGUAGAACUGGUAGGAUCCAGCUUCCCUUUGCCUUCGUGUCACAUGCCUGAUGUUUGGUUAUGUGCAAGCCUGAACAGAAGCUGUCCCGCACCUGGGGCAUUUGCUGGCAUCUAACAAUGGUGAAGUAGUGCUGCACUGUUCUCCCCGAUGGCCAGCUGCCUGUUGCUAGCAAGUAAGGCAGGAACUUCUUUGACUGUAGUGUUUGUCCCCUUGCUUGAGUCCCAAUUCUUGCUGUUGUGGAGUUCACAAGUUCUUUUAAAUCAGUUGGAAGACAAGAGCACUCACAUCCUCUGUGACAGCUUAUCUCUGCCAUGGUAGCUAUCUGCCCCAGUUAUACACACUUAUUAAAACAACUUUCAUAGAGGAAAUCUCUUCUAUUUUUAACUGUGUAUAAACUAAGCAUCCACUCUGAAUUAGUUGCCUAAUCUGCAAACAAGAGACAGGUGCUACCAAAGUGAUUCAUCUUUUCCUAAUACAGGUACAUUUAGAGAGAGAAACCUCAUCUCUCCUUGCUGAUUUUGAGGAAAGCUCAUGUCUGUAUCCUGUCCAGGAGCUCUUUGGUGCUCAUCGGUCUUGUGGUACAAAUAGGCUUCUUGACUCUGACACAAGCAAGAAUGGCCUAACUGAGUCAAACCACUCAUCCUUCCAGCUGUGCAUCUGGUUUCUCCUGCCUCUGAGAGCUAUGAGCUCUUAGCUCCUGUUUGCUGUGGCCAUAAAUUCUAGCUUCUUCAUCAGAUCAUUUCCUUUCAAGAAGUCAUGGGCCCAGUCCUCGGAAUUUUCUUUUCCCUCUCCACUUCUCAUUUUCUCCAUUUGGCCAUGUGGCCUUCACACUCCAGUGCAUUAUUUUUUAGUUCUUCCCUGUAACCCUGCUUUCCUUUUUCUUAGCUGCCCCUUUUUGGAGACCUUUUUUAGGCUGGGCACUAGGAAAGACUGUCUGAAAACACAUGCCUAAAUGGAUGUGUAGGAAGCUUGACAUGCUUAGCCUCUUCUUUCAGCUACCUCAACUGUUUGCAGCUUGGAGGUCUGCUAGAUUUGCCUUUCCAGAACUUAGGUGAUAGUGGGAUGCUUGGGCUCUUCAUUCUGAUUUCAGAGCAGAACUCCUGUCCUGGAUGAGCUGAGGGAGCUAGAAGGAGUAAUGCAACUCCAGUAAGUGGCUGAGAGGAUACAGCAAACACCAGGAGGGGUGGGUAUCUGGCCAUGUGCAAUAUUACUGCAUGUAACACGUGCAUUGAACAAUGUGGCAAAACAAACUGUCGAACAGGUAAAACCAUAUAUACCUAAGUUAUGAUUCUGGCAGCCAUUAAUCAUCCUGCUUCUGUCUAUUCACUGUAACAAACAUGCCAGAUGUCUACUUCAUUUGGGAGGCCUGUGCGGAACUGAGGCUAACAGCUCUCCAGGGUUUGUCAGCGCAGUAAAGACAGUGGCCAUCUGAGUUCAUCUUGCUGUGUUCUGCAUCAUCCACUGUGUAUGAAAUUCUGUGUGCCAAGAUAAACAAGCAAUGCUAGAGAAGAGAAAGCAUAAAGACAAAUCACAAUGAGCUUUAUUAAGACAAAUCUGGUAAGCUGUAAGGAUUCCAAAGCACCUCUUCUGGCUGGAACUUAGGUGGCACGAAAGCACUCAUCUAGGCAGUACUUCUGAAUUGUACCCCUGAGUGGUUAUUGCCUCCUCUGGAAAUUGCCGUGCACAGCUUAAGUUCUUUCCUUUUCAUAAGACCAGGAGAAUAACACCUGCUAUUGGCCAGUGUUAGAGAGAUGGUACUAUUGUGUGAGACAGAAUUUUGGCCCAUCAUUCUGUUUUUCUGCUUGAACAAAAAAACCUCUAAACUUUUAGUAGUUAUAAAAGCUGGAAGGGAUUGUGCUGAAAUGCUCUCUUCCUUGGAGUAGUCUGUGGGUUUAACUUCUUUAAAAAUGCAGGUUCUUGGUGUAGAAUCCGUACCUUUUUCUAAUCCGAUACCACGAAGGAUGUGUUAUAAUUGUGGGGAAUUUGUGAUCAGUCAUGAAAUGGAUAACAAUCAAACUAUGAUACGUAGACUUUUAUGUCUUUGCAGAGCUACUUCAGUGCUUCCUCAUUUUGUAAAUUACCACGAACACCAGAAUACUGGGAACCUAGCACAUAAAAAAGGAAAUAACUGUGCUUCCAGAAUCUGUUGUUCCCCUCCCAAUAGUUUUUUUGGAAGGUCCCAGUGGCUGUGAUUUUGAGUAUGGGCUGCAAAUAACAUGCUAAGCUAAAAAUUAUCUUUGCUUUCAUUCCAAUGCAAAAAGCUGCUUCUCUGGCUUCUUUUCUUUUCUUUUCUUUUCUUUUCUUUUCUUUUCUUUUCUUUUCUUUUCUUUUCUUUUCUUUUCUUUUCUUUUCUUUUCUUUUCUUUUCUUUUCUUUUCUUUUCUUUUCUCUUCUCUUCUCUUCUCUUCUCUUCUCUUCUCUUCUCUUCUCUUCUCUUCUCUUCUCUUCUCUUCUCUUCUCUUCUCUUCUUUUCUCUUCUUUUCCUUUCUUUUCCUUUCUUUUCUUUUUUUCCUUAUUGCAUGUUACAGUUAAAAGUAAGCAUAGCUACAGGUAGUUAGGACUAACUUCAAAAAGCCUUUUUGUUGUGGAGUGGCUCGGCACAGUGAGUAUCUGUGGCUGCUUGUAAUGCAACAAACUCUUCUUUCCAGAGCCCACAACAUUUAUAGGUCUUUCACCACUUACAGUGAUUUACUGCUCCAUUUGACCCAUCUUCCAAGGCUCUGCAGCUACAAGAAAACAUUUUUUUUCUCUUGGCAAUUUUACCUUCUCUCUUUUCCCAUCUUCUCUCUGGUUUGUUCCUGGGCACCUUUUACCAAGCUCUGUAUUUCGGUGGCGCUGCCUGUCCUGCCCUGUUCUCAGGGGCUCUGCUGGCAGGUCUGUCUCAAUGUCACCUGUAGUUGGGCUGUUGGGAGAAGCACUGUCUCCUGUCUGUGGUCUGUGGCAUGUGUCUGCUUCAUACAUCAGCCUAAGCUUUGAAAUGAGCCUGCAUAUGCAUUCCAGGAACAGCACAUUGUUCUAACUGGUAACAAAAAUACAUGACUAACGUGCUUCUGAUAGAGCCGCUUCCUCUUAACCUUAAAGUUGAUUUUUUGUUAAUGACUUCUUCCUCCCAUGGAAACGUGGAAAACAGUCUGGGACUGCAGGUUGUUAUUCAGUAAGAAAAACACAUGAUGAAGUUUGACAUUUCACAGGAAAAAGAUGUCUAAAGAUUUAUAUCAAUGGGUUUUAUUUACUGUUUUUCUGUUCUUGAUUUUUUUAAACCCCGAAAACAAAACUCAUGCAUUGCUAUAAAGGAGGUGGGCAAGUCUUUUUCAGCAGUGAGCAGUCUGUUGAGUCACAGUAACGUACGUUCUUUCCCCAUGCUUUUUUUCUUUAAAAGAAAGAAAUUGUUAAUCAUCUACAUGUAAAAAAUAUGGAAAAUAAACCAUUGUUUGAUCACCGUAUGUCAGAAUAAAAUUAAAAGCAGAGAGAAAACAUAACAUGAGGGCUUGACAUGGUUCGCUUUGUUCUGUUGUUCCCGUGCCCACGUGCCCAUGUUGUGUUCAUUUUUUAAAGCUAAAAAAUCAUAAAAUUCAUAGGAGAUGGGCAGCGUUUGUUCCUUAUUCAAAGCCCUUCUUCCACCACAAGGCCUCCGCUGCCUGCUAAACUUGCAGGAUAUGGAUUCUGGUCACAGGAAUGCAAACCAGUGAUUUACUCUGCUUUUUCUUCUUUUUGCCUGGGGUUUAACCAGUACAUUAGACUAAUAUUUUCUUGCUUGCUAGUGGCAGUUUCUGUUUCUUUUUUUCUUUCUUUCUUUUUUUUUUUUUUUUUUGGUAGUGGAAGUCAUUAGAGUUUCUCCCAAGAGAAUCACUGCCAAAGUAAACAAACAUCUUCAUGAAAGGAAAAUAAUGUCUGAGGAGCAUUCAGAAUUCCAUGUUUUACAGAAGAGUAUUUAUGGCAACCAACUAGUGAAUUAAAGUGAAAGAAAUCCCAUUACUAGUUUGCUGCUUCUGCUGUGCUAAUCGAAAGUGGCAAUUUCUGCUUGCUUCUCUGCGCUACAGUGCAGGGUCUCAGUAUAAGCUGUAAUUUAAAAUGAAGGAAAUUAUGAGAUGAAACUCUUUUUAGAAGCAGUGUUAUGUUGGGUUUGCUUUUAUUUUUCUUAAUUGUUGGUAAUUGUAUAGAGCUUCUGCAUGUAAAACUCAGGGGAACUGCUAUUGUCUCCAAAAUGUUCUGCGUGUGGUUGGCAAGAACAACAAGCACAGAAGAAAGUUCAGCUAAAAAAUUCAUAAAAGCUGCCUGGUGGAAUGCAUUGCAAUCAGCUGUACACCUUGGUGCUCUUAUCCCUCUGAACUGAUCAUUUUUAGCUGAGAUGAAACAUUCUGAGGAGCAGGAGCCUGGCAGAUUUGCGGCGUAGAUUGUUUGAAGGUUUAAACACUGUGACUAUCUCAUCUUACUGCAAGUCUGUAGAUAGAACAUAAGCUCAAGUUGCUGAAAAGUGAUAGAAUGGCUCUGUGUGCACAGCCUACAAAACUGUGAAGGGCUUAUUUUCUGUGUGCUUUCUGCGUUCCCUCCAGGAGAGCAGUAAUUCCCCAGUGGAGCAAGCACACUUUGCAUUUGUUGAGGAUGAGACUGUCUCUAGUCCUUUGUUUGGGCAGCGGCUUUCACAAAGGGGACCAGUACUCACUGGGAACUUGCCAGCACCAUCAUAUGUUUCAUGACAAAUGCUAAGUGUUCAGAAAGUUGGCACUACAAAAUAGAGAUACUGUUAAUCUCUGUUUAAUUCUCAAAAUGGCUUGUAGGAUUUUAAAGCUUGUGUUGUUGCUGGUGCACUCACCCAUCAGAUAGCAUUUUUAACAGCCCUUCUAAUAUGGCCGGUUAAUUUGGUUAUAUUACUAGGAUGUAAAACAAAAUGAUUCCUAGGAUAGAGAUUGCUAGAUUGCUAAGAUUUUACUGCCGUUUUUUUCCUAUCUGCUGCGUGCUGAAGAACAGUGUGUCCAGCCACAUGUAUUGCUGUAGUCAGACCAUGGUAUUUUCUCAUCUUCUUUCCCAUGUACAGCUCAGACACAGCUGCCGCUAUUUACCAAACACAAAGGUGUUUUUCACAGCUCAGAGAGUAUGUUUGGGUUCUGCUGUAAGGAACGCGAGAUACAUCUCUAUUAAUUGCAUGAAUGUUCAGUGUAUGUUUAUGUACCUGGAUACUGUGGUGUUCUCUUUGGAAUUUUAGGGAGCGAGCUCAUAGAUCUUUGGAUACGUCUCCAGAGACAUGAUGAUUCCAGCGUCAGAAUAAUCUGCUCCAUAACGUGACCACAUUUAGGAGACCAGCUCCUGGGAGGAGACCCAAGGAGACAUCUUGAAAUUUCUGAGCAGAGAGGCUUUUGACACAGAGUUGGUGUACGCCGGAUGGCAUCCAGUUGGUAGCCUGCAUUGCUGGUGCAGCAGGAGGAAGCAAGCCUCUGACAAGAGCUAGAUAUGUCACCCUGCAGGACUGCACGGACAGCUUAAAUGGAGUGUAUGUUUGCACCUAAGCAGACUGUUAAGUAACAGAAGUGAGGUCAACAGCUCCAAGAGUGACUAUCGCAAUAUCCAGCAGCCAUAGCACUGACAUUGAGACUGGCUGGGCCAUGAGGUCAUGCUUCUGGGAGGAUGAAGAGGAAGGCCUGGAUGCACUGAGGAAGAGAGUUGAACUCAACUUUGCUAUACAGCAGAUGAAUAUUCACCCUGGUGUAUAUAUAUAUAUAAAUCUAUUUAUUUAAAAGCAAGUCUGAUGAAAGGAUGCGUUUUUCAUUGCUAUUUGUUGUAUGUAAGAGAAAUUGGCAUCUGCGCAUAGAACACCGGACAGAUGUUUGCAAAGAGGUCUCAACAAGGAGUCCAAGAUCCUUCCUGGAGUGAUUAUUUAUAAUUUAUCACAGUGUUUGUGCAAUUAGGGUGUUUUUUCCCCCCACGUGUAUUCCUGUGCGUCUAUCGAUAAUAAAUGAUGCGUGGUUUUAUGUUGCUGAAUCACUCAGCAUUCAGUAUGACGAUGCCUUUUGAAGUAUUGACUGUUCUAAGCGAUUUCCAUCAUCAGCAAACUUAGCUGCCUCGUUAUUAAUCCCCUCUUCCAGAUCGUUUGUGAAUGUAGUGAAGAGAACAAGUUCAAGUGCAGAUCCCUGAUCUCUUCUCUCCCAUGGUGAAAACAAUUUAUUACUACACUUCAACAAAUCAUUAAUCUACCAAAGAAUUUCCAUCCUUAUGAUAACUCAGUUUCUUUAAGAGCUUUUAGAGAGAGAGAUGUUGUCAAAACACUUUGACUUCUGGAAAUCCAAGAGCAUUACAGCAAUCCGCAUUCACCACCAUGCUGACUGCUUUCAGGAACUGUACCAUCGUCCAUUUCAUCAGCCCACAGCAGGCUGUAAACCCUACAUUUGGUCAGGUUUCUUCUUCCGCAGAUGUGACGUUAUUUGUGUACUAAAAAUAGUGGCGAGCGCUUUCAUUACUUGUACAAAGGCUUCUAGCAGUUAGUGACAGUUUCUAAGUGAACUUAUUGCUAUGCUGCCAGAAACUCCAGAGCGAGGUACAGAUUUCCAUUGACCCCGAAUGCAGCAUGGUUUCUUUGUGAUAGAAGUCUUCUAUUUAUUUUCCAUAAAUGACAUAUCCCUGAAGCAACGGUGAGGGAAUGAAAGUUGCAUUUUAUCACUGUAACAUUUGCAGAAAAGUGAACUGCUAAACUCCCUAUUCAUAAUGAAACUUCGACUGGCCGCGAGUUCUUAAAAAGCUUACCUGCAGGUGCACAGCUUUUUUUUUUUUCCCCCUUAAAAAUUUAUAUCUGAGCCUUAUGAACUUCUGAUUAAACUUUUAAAAUAAAUUAAGGGUGAGAGGAUUAGACAGGGAAUUGGAAAUGAACUGUGGUAUCUUUUGCCUCUAGCUCAGCAUUUUGAAGGCAGCCCAAAUGAGAUGUGACAAAGUGCAGUGCUCUCGUUUCUUUCUGCUGACCUACGUGCAAGUGGAGUUUGGUCUCUGCCAAGUUCUUUGUGUGAACAGCCACGUCACCGUCACUGCUAGUCUAAUUAGCAGUAAUUAGACCUUUGUUGGAAUUUAAAAUAAAUAGGCCAUGAUUUGGAUAUCACAGUGACUAAAUUAUCCACUUAGAUGAUCCCCUCUGUGGGUGAACAGCCUGCUGCUCCCAGCCCUCCCUUUUCCACAGAGUGACAGCAGUUACAAAGAUCUGAUUUAAAUGACGAAUACGUCCAGCUUGUGUUUUGCAGAAUGCCGUGUCCUGUUUGAAAUAGAAACUGUAAAAUCCUGCAGGACAGUCCCUGAGUGAGACUAAUAAAGCCACGUUUUAAUCCGUUAAGGGCUGUAGUAGCUAUUAUUUCCUUCCUGCCCUCGAUGGAGGUGUGAAGACUUUCAGAGGAAGCACCCACCAGCAGACGUUCAGAGGUUCCUACUGCUUCAGCCCCUAUCUGAACUUCCUAUUGCUCCUUCUCAGGAGAAAUUAUUUCAUUAGCCUGGGUCAGCCCUUUCUGAACAUGUCUGUUUCUUACCUUAUUUCUGCUGCCUGUCAUGCUGUCCCGCUGCCAGAGAGUAUUUUCAGACCCGUAGGUCUGACUCCCUAGGCGUUUCUCCUGGACUUUGUACACCACUUCUUGUCCUAGGAGAGGAAAGGAAAGUGUGCAUUUCCAGUGGAGCACUGCAUGCAGCUUUUUUCUGCACAUGUGCCCUCUAUGGAUUCUUGUUGAUUUCCUGACCCUUUUCUGUUUGAUUGACUCUGAAAGCCCAGCUGAUUCUUCUGUUCUCCCCAAAGCACCUAUGGGAACUUCUGUAACUUGGUUGCUUCUAUCCAAAGUUUUUCUUUGCUUCUUUGAGAAAAGAGAAAGUCGUAGCACCUGAAAGUGUGCCAGUUUCCCAAUCACACUGGUUGCCAGUGAUUGGCUGGGUCAAUAGAGACUGGGGUGGGAAAGCCUGGUCCUGCUGCAGGUCAGAGCAGGGCACGUGAGACUUCUGAUCAGAAUGUGGUGGCAUAGGAAUCCAUCAGUGCUCUUCUGGGGUGGUGGUCAUUGUCCUGACAGCCUCUGCAUUAUGAUAAUGGGGAAAAAAAAGUUAAUGUUUGUUUCACUGAUGUAUUUCACAAUGAAUUACUCUUGGCAUUAGAGCCGACUACAUGCAAUGGACAACUGCACUGCUUUAAAAAUCCUGUGCAUUAUGCCAGCAGUGUAGGGGUCUCCAAUCUUCAAACACAGACACAUGGUUUCAGAGAACACAAACACUAGGUGUUGAUCUGGAAGUAAAGAGAAGCAGUGUGAAUCUGCUUUUCCCAUAUUUUCAGCCAAUUGCUGGCUAUUUAAAAUCUUUAAUCUAAACAGAUAUUUGGAUUUAGUUUCUGAAGAGCAAAAGCCUGUCAGCUAUUUCAGUGAGGGCAACAACUUAAGCUGUCAAUAUAUCAUUCCUGAAACAAGCAUAAUUUCAGCAAUCAAGUAGGAGAUAUUUCUUGUAGGUCCGCAAUUCCUUGUAGAGAGAGUUCAUAUCAUAAUGAUGUGCUCUGUGGAGGUGACUCAUUUGCACAUUUUGGAGUUCAGACAAAGUCUCUGUGUUAGCUCUCUUUCCUCUCCUACCUUCCACGUGUUCUCCUGGAUUCAUAACAGAAUGAUUCUUUCUGUUACAUAAGACUGAAAUGGCUUCUCAUUUUCACUUUCUUUAUGCAUAAGAGGCUUAUAAAUGUAUUGAGUUAUGGCUGAGGAAACUAGAAUACAUGCUACCUGAAAACCAUCAUAAAUUGUUCCAAAAUGAUCUUGAUUAAUUAAAAAAAAAUUGGUUUUGCUUUGUGCUAGUCCAACUAUUUUGACAACUACUUGUGCUGUAGUGCACAAGUGGGGAUAUAAUCGCACAGGGCUGAAGAUGUCUAAUAAUGAAGUAGUGACACCCAGUUCUGUAUAUGCCAGCAUGGCUACGUGAAUGCAAUACACAAAGCCAGAUGUACCAUUUUAACUGCACAAGGAUAUAUUCAAGUAUGUUUAAAAUGGGCAGCGUGACAUUUAUGUGUAUGUGUGUAGGUCUCACUGAAAGUAGUGCCUCCUAUUUAUUUCCAUGGAAACAACAACAGAUACAAAGAGCUCAAUAACACUAUUUGAUAGAGCAAGCCCUCAGCAACAGAACACUGUUUUUCAACAUAGUCACCACCAUUAGCUGUGCAUUUUCACCAGGGAUGAAUAAGAGCCUGUGUGCCACACUCAUGAAAAUCUGUACCAGCAGAGAUGACCCACUGUUGCACAGCUGCUAUGAUGGCAUUGUUGCUAGGAAAAUGUUGCCCAUGCAGUCUGUCUUUCAUUGGCCCGGACAGAUGGAAGUCAGAAAGUACCAAACCCAGAUAGUAGGGGGGUGUGAUAGGACAGUCCAGCCGAGAUACAGUCCUGUACAGUACAGUACAGUAAGACCUUUGGUGACUGAAAUUGGAUCGUUUGCAUUUUAAGAGGUGGCUUAGAAUCCACAAUUUCCAUUUGAAAUAUUUUCAGGUGUGCUUUUACCAUUAUCCUUACAAUUCCAUCUAUGUGCUUGUUUCAAGAAAAUUACAUGAUUUGUUGGUUUGAGACAAUUUUACCUUCAUAAUUAAUCUGUUUAACUUUUCUCCAGCUGUCACAGAUUUGCUGACCAGUAAAGAAGUCCUUCUAGAAAGCCGAAACACCUUGUUAUGAAACAGGCUGAUUUGGGUUGGAUUUUGAACAAAGCUGUGCUCUCCGCUUCAUUAGUUUUAUUAAGUGAGAUAAAAGAAUUCUUACAGUAGUGUUAAAUUAGUACCUCAUCUCUGGAUGACAAUCAUGCUUAUGGCAAGACCAUUCCCAUCACUUGUGGUGCUUGAAAGCACUGUGAAAACUCCAAGAAACCAAGAUCUGGCUAUACAUCAUCAGGUAAUACCUCCAUGUUAAUGUGUGGAAGAAGAAAUGAGUUCACCUCUUUCGGAGUUAAGAAAGAUUAUGGUCAUAUCAAGAUUUAUGCUAGCUUCAUUUUAGAUGAUACUGAAGAUGAGUAUUUUUUGCAAUACAAGUUUGAAUGUAAGUGUUAGCAUAUUUUCACACUUUUUAGUUAUGAAACAGAAACUAAUCAUGAGAAAUAAGAACCUCCUUCUCAGGGUACCGUGAGUUUCUUACCUAUUGCCACACCCUGCCUGCAAUAAACAGAUCUCUUAAUUGCAGCUAAUCUGGAUUUCCUUAAAUAAACCCAACCAAAUUCUGUUUAUCGGCAAUGUUUCUACUUCAAUCAAACUCCUGAGGUGGAAAUUUCUCAAUACUCAGUCCUUGGGAGGAGCAGCUUCUAGGGAAAAGGUGGGAAUAAAAAUACUUCCACAAUUAUGUUCAGCACUGUUUGUCAUCAUCUCUUCUUAGUGUCCCGAGCAGAAGCACCAGUAGUCUUUCUGAGUAAAACAGACCCUUAGACUGAUUCUUCACCUCUCAGUAGUUACUUCUGGUAUAGCAGAACUGGAUUAUGACUGACAAGGUGGAGGUAGGAAGCUUUGCUGGGAUUUUGGCUUCCUUAAAUUUAGUUUUCCAGUACGCUGUCAAAAAGGUUUCCUGGGUUGCUUUGUACCAUUAUCUUCGCGCGGCAUUUAUGUGCAUAAUUCAGUAUUUACUUUAACUUUUAUUCCACAGCAAUUGCAUUCCUUUUUGUAACUAUUUUGUGAAUGAAGCAAGCCUAAGAAAUGUUCCUAUUUAUAGGUGGUGAUAGGCUUCACAGCCCUUUUGAUAAGUAAAGAACCAAACUGUUAAACUGACCAGUCUGGGUCAGUAUAAGGGAACACAUCAUUUUUAGUCCUACUUAUUUUUUGGAUAAAAACCUUUUUCAAGGGAAAAAUGUCAACAUAUAUCUGAAAUUAAGCCCUUCACAAUCCCUGCUCUGCCAUGUAAUUCAUAAAUUAAUGGAUCUAGAAAAGACCUUAAAAGGCUGUUAUCCGUCAGAAAUAAUACUUCUGUGUGUGCAGUGCCUAUCUCUCAUAAAAACUUGUGUUGGCUCUACGUUGAAUUAGCCUGUCUGUGAGUGUCAAAUCCUUUUGGGAAAGGAUGAAAGAACCAUAAAAUAAGUUUAUGUUGCUCAGUGCCCAAAUGUUAUAAGUGGCUAACACAAUAAGAGAAAAGCAGUAAAUUUGAUCUUUUGCAACAUGUAUAUUUAACAGUUGUAAAAAUUACUUCUGAGUUUGUUGGUAUUACACUUUUGUUUUAGGUGCUGCCUGCCAUAUAUCUGAAUUACUUAGACCUCUGAGUAAAGCUAAUCUUUCUUCUUAGAUCCAAGCCUAUAACUUUUAAGGUGACAAGAAAUCCCCCACAGAAAUCACAGAAAAACAGAAUAAAGCAAAUGCUUGCUAUUCAAAAGAGGUUUGCCAUCACGGUAUCUGAAAAUAUUAUUAUAAAGGUAAUAAGCAAAGCAUGACUACUCAUCUGUCUUAUUUUGUUUUUUAUCCAUUUUACGGAACAAGAAAUGUGCAUAUUAGAAUAUUAUGUUUGUUUUGAUGAAAUUUUAUCCAGUAACAUAUGUUGUGCUAUGCAAAUGUAUCUAUAAAUGAAGAAAUAUGCUUUGCAUUUGGAAUAAAAGGGUGUCGAGCACUUUCUAAUUUUUAUGAGGUCCUCGGGAAAGCCCUAAAUCUUUUCUCCCCACAGUGAGUUGUAAUCUUACUUUGUAGCAUUCAUUGUGUAAUUGUUGACCAUGGUCUUUUCUCUGGCAAUUUACUGAUCUUAGUCCCAGGACAUGAAAUGCCUUACAGAGCAAGACUUAGCACAUUCAUUGUUCUGUGGGAAGAUGCUGGAGAAAUUGUAAAGCCAGUGGGUUGCAUUUGCGAUAGCUUCUGUUGUGGAGGAGGGGAUCUGCUGUCUCUGUGGCAAACUGGAACCACCACAGUGCUACAGAUCUGUAUCUCAGGAUGUGUCAUCCAGCCAAGGCCAAUGGAAGAGGCUCGAGUAACUGAGGUCUGCUGGCCUGGCAAGGUGUCUUGGGUCCAGCUGGCAUCAAGAGAGAGCACUGUGCAUGAAUGUUGCCUUGUGAGUGUUUUAUAGCCUUGAGGAAUCCAGGGGUAUUCCUGGAGUGUGGACUGAGUUGGUAAACAAGAGUCUUAUCUGGGUGAAGGGAUCUGCACGCUCGAUGCUAAACUCAAUGCUUUUCCCACUGACACUGCUAUUGGCUUUUUGACUUUAUAUCCUUAAUCUAAUGUAGAGAUUGCACAAACUGGAAAAAAUAAAUAAAUAGUGUGCUCUGUUUUAAUAGGACAGAAAUUUGAAUUCUAAACGAAGGCUUUGAAAACAUGAACUUGUGACACUGAACUGAUUCUGUAUGACCUUUGUGUCCUUGCUGAGUUAUUUGCAGAAUUAGUUUUGGACAAUCUUUUUUCUUCCUUUUGGGCAGCACAUAUACAGCACUAUGGGGCUGCAAUAUUUCUAUCCUCUUAUCCUUGUGCAAAUAGGGUCAAAAUCAGGGAAGGGAACCCAGUUGGCACAGAUUUCAUUAUGCUGGCACAGCCCUCGUUCCCUGCCCAUCUCAAGUACAUCUGAUGUGAAUUGGCACCUCGGCUAAACUCUAGGCAGUGCUGUGUGUGUCAGGAUACUUCGGACCUCAUUGCUGGUUAAGGUGUUACUGCCUACUACUACC